CCUACGGGAGGCAGCAGUAAGGAAUAUUGGUCAAUGGACGAAAGUCUGAACGAGCCAUGCCGCGUGAAGGAUUAAGGCCCUCUGGGUUGUAAACUUCUUUUAUCUGGGACGAAAAAAGGGUAUUCUUACUCACUUGACGGUACCAGAGGAAUAAGCACCGGCUAACUCCGUGCCAGCAGCCGCGGUAAUACGGAGGGUGCAAGCGUUAUCCGGAUUUACUGGGUUUAAAGGGUGCGUAGGUGGGCUUGUAAGUCAGUGGUGAAAUCUCCGGGCUUAACCCGGAAACUGCCAUUGAUACUAUAGGUCUUGAAUUAUCUGGAGGUAAGCGGAAUAUGUCAUGUAGCGGUGAAAUGCUUAGAUAUGACAUAGAACACCAAUUGCGAAGGCAGCUUACUACGGAUAUAUUGACACUGAGGCACGAAAGCGUGGGGAUCAAACAGGAUUAGAUACCCUGGUAGUCCACGCCCUAAACGAUGGAUACUCGACAUCAGCGAUACACUGUUGGUGUCUGAGNGAAGANAUAUAUCCACCAGAGAGANGCAGAUAGAAGACGAAGAAAGUAGAGACGUGAGAGAGACGACGACGACGACGAGGAGGAGG
rnacentral:rRNA from 1 species